rnacentral:misc_RNA from 1 species
GAUGAAGAACGUAGCGAAAUGCGAUAAGUAAUGUGAAUUGCAGAAUUCAGUGAAUCAUCGAAUCUUUGAACGCACAUUGCGCCCGCCAGUAUUCUGGCGGGCAUGCCUGUUCGAGCGUCAUUACAACCCUCAGGCCCCCGGGCCUGGCGUUGGGGAUCGGCGGAGCCCCCCGUGGGCACACGCCGUCCCCCAAAUACAGUGGCGGUCCCGCCGCAGCUUCCAUCGCGUAGUAGCUAACACCUCGCGACUGGAGAGCGGCGCGGCCACGCCGUAAAACACCCAACUCUUCUGAAGUUGACCUCGAAUCAGGUAGGAAUAACCGCUGAACUUAAGCAUAUCAAUAAGCGGAGGA